GUGACCUGCGCCAAACCCCGCAGCAGCCGCAACUCCAGCAUCGAGGCGUUCGUGGUGUGCCGGGGGUACGACCCCCCCGAGGGCUUCGUGCCCACCAUGGACAACCCCCUGCUCGACCCCGACGCGGGUCUGUCCCUGUCCCGUCUCUCGGGUCCCUCCCGGGUGAUCGUCCCCUUCGUGGCCUGCGGGGACCUGAGCGCCUUCGACCCCGACCGCACGUACCCACUGCAGGUACUGGGCAAACUGGGGGGA